rnacentral:rRNA from 1 species
AAAUCAGUUAUCGUUUAUUUGAUAGUACCUUACUACUUGGAUAACCGUGGUAAUUCUAGAGCUAAUACAUGCUAAAAAUCCCGACUUCGGAAGGGAUGUAUUUAUUAGAUUAAAAACCAAUGCCCUUCGGGGCUUCCUGGUGAUUCAUGAUAACUUCUCGAAUCGCAUGGCCUUGCGCCGGCGAUGGUUCAUUCAAAUUUCUGCCCUAUCAACUUUCGACGGCUGGGUAUUGGCCAGCCAUGGUGACAACGGGUAACGGAGGGUUAGGGCUCGACCCCGGAGAAGGAGCCUGAGAAACGGCUACUACAUCCAAGGAAGGCAGCAGGCGCGCAAAUUACCCAAUCCCGACACGGGGAGGUAGUGACAAUAAAUACUGAUACAGGGCCCUUUUGGGUCUUGUAAUUGGAAUGAGUACAAUUUAAAUCCCUUAACGAGGAACAAUUGGAGGGCAAGUCUGGUGCCAGCAGCCGCGGUAAUUCCAGCUCCAAUAGCGUAUAUUAAAGUUGUUGCAGUUAAAAAGCUCGUAGUUGAACCUUGGGCCUGGCUGGCCGGUCCGCCUCACCGCGUGCACUGGUCCGGCCGGGCCUUUCCCUCUGGGGAACCGCAUGCCCUUCACUGGGUGUGUCGGGGAACCAGGACUUUUACUUUGAAAAAAUUAGAGUGUUCAAAGCAGGCCUAUGCUCGAAUACAUUAGCAUGGAAUAAUAAAAUAGGACGUGCGGUUCUAUUUUGUUGGUUUCUAGGACCGCCGUAAUGAUUAAUAGGGACAGUCGGGGGCAUCAGUAUUCAAUUGUCAGAGGUGAAAUUCUUGGAUUUAUUGAAGACUAACUACUGCGAAAGCAUUUGCCAAGGAUGUUU